AAUUAUUGCCCACCUCUGAGUUAGUGUGUUAAUUACAGGAACUGCGAAAAUUGCAAGAAGAGAAGCAGCAGUUAGAGAAGAUCUGUGGAGAACAGGAACAAGCUCUACAAGAAAUGGGACUACACCUUAGCCAAUCCAAACUGAAGAUGGAAGAUAUUAAAGAAGUAAAUAAAGCACUAAAGGGUCAUACCUGGCUAAAAGAUGAUGAAGCAACCCACUGUAAACAAUGUGAGAAGGAGUUCUCCAUUUCAAGAAGAAAGGUAGUGGUUUUCAGUAGAUAAUCUAGGAAGAAUACCUUGGUGGUGGGGGGUUUUUUUGUUUGUUUUUUGUUAAAGCAGUAAAUGAAAGAGAAUUAUAACUUGGUGCAUCUCCCUUCUAAUGUAGCCCAGCUCAUUUGCCAGGGGGAAAAAGUAUUAUUUAAAAGUCUCUAAUUCCACAUCUUGUCAUACAUCCCUAACUAGAGAAAAUAGAUGUUACUGAGUAAUAAUCUACCCCUUUAAUAUGAUGGGAGAGGGAGAACAAGUUCUUUAAAAAU